GUAGGGGUAAAAUCCGUAGAUAUCACCAAGAAUACCCAUUGCGAAGGCGAUCUGCUGGAACUCAACUGACGCUAAGGCGCGAAAGCGUGGGGAGCAAACAGGAUUAGAUACCCUGGUAGUCCACGCCCUAAACGAUGUACACUAGUUGUUGGGGUGCUAGUCAUCUCAGUAAUGCAGCUAACGCAUUAAGUGUACCGCCUGGGGAGUACGGUCGCAAGAUUAAAACUCAAAGGAAUAGACGGGGACCCGCACAAGCGGUGGAGCAUGUGGUUUAAUUCGAAGAUACGCGAAGAACCUUACCUGGGCUUGAUAUCCUAAGAACCUUUUAGAGAUAAGAGGGUGCUAGCUUGCUAGAACUUAGAGACAGGUGCUGCACGGCUGUCGUCAGCUCGUGUCGUGAGAUGUUGGGUUAAGUCCCGCAACGAGCGCAACCCACGUAUUUAGUUGCUAACGGUUCGGCCGAGCACUCUAAAUAGACUGCCUUCGUAAGGAGGAGGAAGGUGUGGACGACGUCAAGUCAUCAUGGCCCUUAUGCCCAGGGCGACACACGUGCUACAAUGGCAUAUACAAUGAGACGCAAUACCGCGAGGUGGAGCAAAUCUAUAAAAUAUGUCCCAGUUCGGAUUGUUCUCUGCAACUCGAGAGCAUGAAGCCGGAAUCGCUAGUAAUCGUAGAUCAGCCAUGCUACGGUGAAUACGUUCCCGGGUCUUGUACUCACCGCCCGUCACACCAUGGGAGUUGAUUUCACUCGAAGCCGGAAUACUAAACUAGUUACCGUCCACAGUGGAAUCAGCGACUGGGGUGAAGUCGUAACAAGGUAACCGUAGGAGAACCUGCGGUUGGAUCACCUCCUUU
rnacentral:rRNA from 1 species